rnacentral:hammerhead_ribozyme from 1 species
GUACUGCUGAAGAGUCCCAAACAAGGACGAAAUGGCUGUCUAGUAC